rnacentral:rRNA from 15 species
GCCGCCUCCUAAAGAGUAACGGAGGCGCGCGAUGGUAAGCUCAAGCCGGUCGGACAUCGGCUGUUGAGUGCAAUGGCAUAAGCUUGCCUGACUGUGAGGUCGACGGACCGAGCAGAGACGAAAGUCGGUCAUAGUGAUCCGGUGGUCCCGAGUGGAAGGGCCAUCGCUCAACGGAUAAAAGGUACUCCGGGGAUAACAGGCUGAUGAUGCCCAAGAGUCCAUAUCGACGGCAUCGUUUGGCACCUCGAUGUCGGCUCAUCUCAUCCUGGGGCUGGAGCAGGUCCCAAGGGUACGGCUGUUCGCCGUUUAAAGAGGUACGUGAGCUGGGUUUAGAACGUCGUGAGACAGUUCGGUCCCUAUCUGCCGUGGGUGUACGAGACUUGAGAGGAGCUGUCCCUAGUACGAGAGGACCGGGAUGGACGUACCUCUGGUGGACCUGUUGUGGCGCCAGCCGCAUUGCCGGGUAGCUAUGUACGGACGGGAUAACCGCUGAAAGCAUCUAAGCGGGAAGCCCCCCUCGAAACCAGGUCUCGCUGAGAACCGUGGUAGACCACCACGUUGAUAGGCUGGAGGUUGAAGUGCGGCAACGUAUGAAGCUGACCAGUACUAAUCGUUCGUAAG